rnacentral:rRNA from 1 species
AGAGCUCGUGAUGAGAACCCGGCCCUCGGGUCGGGAUUGUAGUCUGGAGAGGCGUUGCCAGCCGGCGGCGGGGUCUAAGUCUCUUGGAAAAGAGCAUCAAGGAGGGUGACAAUCCCGUUCCGGUCCCUGCUCGUCGUGCGCACGGCGCGCUUUCUACGAGUCGAGUUGCUUGGGAUUGCAGCUCAAAGCGGGUGGUAAAUUCCAUCUAAAGCUAAAUACGGGUGGGAGACCGAUAGCGAACAAGUACCGUGAGGGAAAGAUGCAAAGAACUUUGAAAAGAGAGUUAAAGAGUGCCUGAAAUUGCUGAAAGGGAAGCGAAGGAAGCCAGUGUCUGGUGGUUCUGCUUCUCCGACGGUCUCCGGACCGUCGGGCUGCGCUUCCGCUGUGGCCAGGGCUGGGUUGGGCAGCGGGAACCAGCGUCCCCGGGAGGUACGUCUCUUCGGAGGUGGAAUGCCGGGGCGCUCUCCGUCGCGGCCUUGGGCCAGUCCUGACGAAAUGGUUUUCUUCACCCCGUCUUGAAACACGGACCAAGGAGUCUAACAUGCCCGAGAGUACAGGGGCGGCAAACCCCCGUGCGCAGUGAAAGUGAAUGUAGGUGGGACGCUUCGGCUGCACCAUCGACCGACCGUGGCCCCCCGGGGUCGAGGUUUGAGUGUGAGC